CCUACGGGAGGCUGCAGUAGGGAAUAUUGCACAAUGGAGGAAACUCUGAUGCAGCGACGCCGCGUGAGUGAUGAAGGCCUUCGGGUCGUAAAGCUCUGUCGUAUGGGAAUAAAAAAAUGAAUGUACCAUACAAGAAAGGAUCGGCUAACUUCGUGCCAGCAGCCGCGGUAAGACGAGGGAUCCUAGCGUUGUUCGGAAUCAUUGGGCGUAAAGCGGGUGCAGGUGGCUUUGUAAGUCAGAUGUGAAAGCCCGGGGCUUAACCCCGGAAGUGCAUUUGAUACUGCGAGGCUUGAGUGCGGAAGAGGCUACUGGAAUUCCUGGUGUAGUGGUGAAAUACGUAGAUAUCAGGAGGAACACCGGAGGCGAAGGCGGGUAGCUGGUCCGACACUGACACUCAAACCCGAAAGCGUGGGGAUCAAACAGGAUUAGAUACCCUUGUAGUC
rnacentral:rRNA from 1 species